rnacentral:rRNA from 1 species
GACGAACGCUGGCGGCGUGCUUAACACAUGCAAGUCGAACGGAAAGGCCCUGCUUUUGUGGGGUGCUCGAGUGGCGAACGGGUGAGUAAAACGUGAGUAACCUGCCCUUGACUUUGGGAUAACUUUAGGAAACUGGGGCUAAUACCGGAUAGGAGCUCCUGCUGCAUGGUGGGGGUUGGAAAGUUUCGGCGGUUGGGGAUGGACUCGCGGCUUAUCAGCUUGUUGGUGGGGUAGUGGCUUACCAAGGCUUUGACGGGUAGCCGGCCUGAGAGGGUGACCGGCCACAUUGGGACUGAGAUACGGCCCAGACUCCUACGGGAGGCAGCAGUGGGGAAUAUUGCACAAUGGGCGGAAGCCUGAUGCAGCAACGCCGCGUGCGGGAUGACGGCCUUCGGGUUGUAAACCGCUUUCGCCUGUGACGAAGCGUGAGUGACGGUAAUGGGUAAAGAAGCACCGGCUAACUACGUG